rnacentral:rRNA from 1 species
AUGGAAAGUAGUAGAGCUCCUGGCCCUGACAAUAUACCAGCAGAGUUUUAUCAACACUGCUGGGACAUUGUGAAAAAUGACAUCAUGAGCCUUUUUGCUGCUCUGCACGAGGGAACUCUGGAUGUGCAUAGGCUGAACUAUGGGAUAAUCACGCUGUUCCCUAAGAUUAAUGGUGUGAAUAAAAUUCAGCAGUUUAGACCGAUUUGCUUGCUCAGGUGUCCUUAUAAGCUGAGAACAAAGGUGCUAGAUAAUAGAGCGGCCCCCUAUGCUGACAUCUUGUUUAGCAAGCACCAAAAUGCUUUUAUCAAGCACAGAAAUAUUAUGGAUGGAGUGUUGACAUUACAUGAGAUUUUGCACCAUACUCAUGUUAAGAAAAAGGUCGGCAUUAUCAUUAAACUUGAUUUCGAAAAAGCCUAUCACAAGGUUAACUGGGAAUUCCUGUUGAAAUGCCUUGAGAUUAGGGGAUUCGGUAAAAUUUGGUGUAGCUGGAUGAAAAAUAUUCUCGAGAAUAGGACAGUGAGUGUGAAACUGAACAAUACUUCGGGGCCCUAUUUUCAAAGUUAUAAAGGGGUUCGUCAAGGGGACCCUGUGUCGCCCUUCUUGUUUAACAUCGCUGCUGAAUGCCUGUGUAAGAUGGUGUUGCAGGCGCAAAAUAAUGGCCUGAUUGAUGGGUUAGCUUCUGAUUUGGUGGAGAAGGGAGUGGCUAUUCUGCAGUAUGCAGAUGAUACAGUGUUGUGUGUGGAGCAUAAUCAUGAAAAAGCACUUAAUUUAAAGUUGUUGCUUUACAUGUUCGAACUCAUGUCUAGUCUGAAAAUCAAUUUUCAGAAGAGUGAAAUUCUUUGUGUGGGGGGAGAUGAUAGUAUUCUAGAAGAAUAUGCUGACAUCUUUGGAUGCCAGAUCGGUCACUUCCCGAUGAAGUACCUUGGGGUCCCUGUUAGUUAUUCAUCACUGAGAGGGGUGGAUUGGGACUUUUAG